AGUGAACGCUGGCGGUAGGCCUAACACAUGCAAGUCGAACGGCAGCACAGUAAGAGCUUGCUCUUACGGGUGGCGAGUGGCGGACGGUUGAGGAAUACAUCGGAAUCUACUUUUUCGUGGGUGAGAACGUAGGGAAACUUACGCUAAUACCGCAUACGACCUACGGGUGAAAGCAUGGGAUCUUCGGACCUUGCGCGAGUGAAUGAGCCGAUGUCGGAUUAGCUAGUUGGCGGGGUAAAGGCCCACCAAGGCGACGAUCCGUAGCUGGUCUGAGAGGAUGAUCAGCCACACUGGAACUGAGACACGGUCCAGACUCCUACGGGAGGCAGCAGUGGGGAAUAUUGGACAAUGGGCGCAAGCCUGAUCCAGCCAUACCGCGUGGGUGAAGAAGGCCUUCGGGUUGUAAAGCCCUUUUGUUGGGAAAGAAAAGCAGCAGGUUAAUACCCCGCUGUUCUGACGGUACCCAAAGAAUAAGCACCGGCUAACUUCGUG
rnacentral:rRNA from 1 species